rnacentral:rRNA from 1 species
GACGAACGCUGGCGGCGUGCUUAACACAUGCAAGUCGAACGAAGAGCGAUGGAAGCUUGCUUCUAUCAAUCUUAGUGGCGAACGGGUGAGUAACGCGUAAUCAACCUGCCCUUCAGAGGGGGACAACAGUUGGAAACGACUGCUAAUACCGCAUACGAUCUAAUCUCGGCAUCGAGGAUAGAUGAAAGGUGGCCUCUACAUGUAAGCUAUCACUGAAGGAGGGGAUUGCGUCUGAUUAGCUAGUUGGAGGGGUAACGGCCCACCAAGGCGAUGAUCAGUAGCCGGUCUGAGAGGAUGAACGGCCACAUUGGGACUGAGACACGGCCCAGACUCCUACGGGAGGCAGCAGUGGGGAAUCUUCCGCAAUGGACGAAAGUCUGACGGAGCAACGCCGCGUGAGUGAUGACGGCCUUCGGGUUGUAAAGCUCUGUUAAUCGGGACGAAAGGCCUUCUUGCGAAUAUU